GGAUUAGAUACCCUGGUAGUCCACGCUGUAAACGAUGAUCACUAGGUGUUCGGUCUUUUAGGCUGAGUGCCCAAGCGAAAGCGAUAAGUGAUCCACCUGGGGAGUACGUUGGCAACAAUGAAACUCAAAGGAAUUGACGGGGGCCCGCACAAGCGGUGGAGCAUGUGGUUUAAUUCGAUGAUACGCGAGGAACCUUACCUGGGCUCGAAUGCCGCUGACAGUCGCCGAAAGGUGAUUUUCCCUUCGGGGCAGCGUGCAAGGUGCUGCAUGGUUGUCGUCAGCUCGUGUUG
rnacentral:rRNA from 1 species